CCGCCUGUUCUCUGUUUAAACAAAUCAGAUUGUUCUUUCUCGCACAGAUUCUCCUUCGCCACCAAACCUCGCCUCGCCUCGCCUCGCCUCAGCAUCAACGUUGCCGUCCGCCGUUCUCGCCCUCCACUAUCAUCACCCUCUCUCCGUUGCCAUGGUGAUCUGAAGAACAGGAGCGUUCAGAUUGUCCCUCUUCGAUAUGUCGAAGGCUCUCGAGUUCGAAGAAGAAUCGAUUUUGAAGACUAUUAAGUUUCGAUAUGCGCUUCUCUCUAUUUGAUGUAGGGCUCUUAGAUCUGGAUGAGUUUAAUUUGGAUUUGACCGAUUGGGAUCUGGAUCUAGGGUUCUUCUACCAGGUAUGGGGUUCUAAUUUGGAUUUCAAGUUUGUUCAAAUCACUAGCACUAUUGUUUAUGGUUUCAAUUUAAUUGAUUUAGGAUCUUAGAUCCUAACUGAUUUUCAUUU